rnacentral:piRNA from 1 species
UGGAUAGCGUCUAUAAUGGUUACGGUC